rnacentral:SRP_RNA from 1 species
GCUGGGCCUACCUGUAAUCACAGCUACUAGACAGACUAAGGCUAGCAGAUCUCUUGAGCUCAGGUAUUCUGAGCUGCAGUGGGCUAUGCUGAUCAGGUGUUUGAAUUAAAUAUGGCAUCAAUGUGAGCCCCCAGAAGCAAGGUGAGGGGAUACCAGGCCAUUUAUAAAGGGAAGAACUGAUCCAGGUUGAAAACAGAGCAGACCAAAGUUCCUGUGCUAAUCAGUAGUGGGAUUGGAUAUGUGUUGCCCUUGUACUUCUAGCCUAGAUGAGAUGGGGAGAGCUAUUUUUUA